AAAUAACAAGGAUACCAGAUGCCAAUCAAUGGACUUAUACUAGUCUCCCACCAUAUCAUAGGAACAACUGCCAAGUAAUGGACUUAUGCUUGUCUCCUCCAUGGACAAAGAAAAAAUGCUAUAAAGCAAAGUUUAUGAAAUGAUAUAAAAAUGAUGAUGAUAAAUGCACAAAGGCACACUCAAGUAGAUAUGCACAGAUGAAUCAAACAAUCAGACAAACAAGUCAGUUAGCACACACUAUAUACAAG
rnacentral:lncRNA from 1 species